rnacentral:lncRNA from 1 species
GCGGAAACUCUGGGAGAGAGGAGACCGCGGGUGACCCCUAGGCCUGAGAAACCCUGAUCAGACCUUCUGGGCCGGGCGCCCGGACCCGUGCCUGGUCCCAGAGGACUUAUUUAAAUCAUGGCCCCUUUAUGAAGUAGUAUUGCAGUCCCUAUUUUACAGAUGAAGAAAUUGAGACCUCAAGAGCCUCAGCAACCUGCCAAAGAUCACACACCUAUUUUCCAUAUUGUUUGGAGUUUCAACAUUCAUUUCUUCCCAAUUGCACAAAUGCAUCAAGCCCAGAGAAACUUGGCUUUUAGAUCUACAUGGUUGCUUGCAGAAUUGUG